CUGUAUAUACAUUCUUCUUCUUUAUUCUAGAAUCUACCCGGUCAAAGAUAUCUAUUUUCUCUCACUUCUCCUUCUCUACUUGUGCACGUGGACGCCAUCCUCUUCAUCCAUGUAGAAGCCCUAUUUCUCUCACUUCUAUUUUUCCUCACAUUUCUUCUCUUCCUUUCUCUAGUUAUCACUCUUUCAGGGAAGCUUUGGUAGCUUCACUUCUAAUAAGAUAUGGAGCAGUUGUGUACGCGAAGAAAAGAAGAAGGCAGUGUGGUUGAACUAGCUUUACAUGAUCUUCGCACAACAUCAAUUAAUGUCGCUAAGAUGAUUAUUAAAGGAUAAAACCCCGUGGUCUCACUAGCCAGACAAUAGAUUCAAGGCAAACUCUCUAAAUACUUAGAUGAGGAAUUAUAUAACAUACACCUGAACUUAUGUUUGUUGAACAUAUGCGUAUAGCUCCCGAAGAGAAAAACAUAUAUAUAGUUAUGUAGGUUCUUCUAUAUUAUCAGUUGUGGUAGUAAAUCCAUGAAGAGAUUACAUAGGUCAUAGAAGGUAUAUUUAAGAUAUGAAAGUAUUUAACUCCAUCUGUUCAAGAAAAUGAUUCCAUUAUCAUCUAUUCCCCAUUUUCCGUUACAGGAAAUGUUUCUACAUGUUAGACCUUUUAGCUGUGUCAGACCGGCCUAAGUACUUGAAUAUUCUGAAGUGAAUAUUUAUUAUUAGUGUAUCAGUAAGGAAGUGUGAUUGUUAUGUCAAAACAAACAAUAUUGCACAAUGUAAUUAGGUCACAUAUGCUCUGCCUUUUCUCAUUAUAUUUUUCUUACUUUCCUUUCAGCCUUUACCACUUGCAUUGAGAAUCUCUUCUAUCUAUACACAUAACCCUACUGAUUGUUGCCCUUUCAUUAAAAAAAAAAACGAGUGUGGUAUACAAAAGUCAUUUUAUGGGUGAUAGAUGAAGUACAAAUUGACUUCUUAUAUAUGCUAUUUGGACUGAGUUUGGUUUGGUAAUUCAGUAGCUUACUGUUGGAGAACCACUCAUUUCCCUAUUAUAUUUACUUCUGUGUAUCAAUUGGUUUCAAAUUGUAUCAAUUUCUCAUGACACAAUUGCUUCACAUUAGAACCUGAUAAGGAAAAGAUACUAACACUGAAACAGUGAAACUUGUGUCAAAGGUGAAAAAGGAAAACAAAAGAUGCAGAGGUUGAUUAGAUGAGCACGGUUUAAAGUAUAAAUUAGGGAAAAUCGUGUAGCAAGCUGAAUUUAAUUGGAAUUCGAAUACGGUAAUGUUAUUGGGCUUUGCAUUUUAAUUUUGUAAUAAAUUGUUCACGGUCAUAUUUCGAUCAUCUUCAGUUGUUUUAAGCCUAAACAGUGCCUUGCUGACCAGCUUUGAUCAAGAAGUUAGGCAGCCUAUCUUCCUCUUCCUUUAAAAAUAUACAGUUAUUAGCAUUUGAACAUGACAUCAACUGAGAUCACUAUAUAGAGGUUGAUUCUUUGCAGCUUAGUCAUUCUUUAGUAAUGUUGGUUAAACAUACAGGAGUUUGAUGCAAAUUUAGACAAGCCUUUGUCGCUUCACUCAACUUUAAGAGCCCUUUCACUGUGCAUUUUUUGAAGAUUUAAAACAAACAAAUACCUUUAAUAUCAUUUCAAAUUGUGGAGAGUUGUAUAGUUCAAUACCAUCCUAUGUCUGACGAGGUUUUGGAAAUUUGACACUGAUAUUCACUGGAUGAAGCUAGGUUGUAUAGUAAUGUAAGUUGAUUCGCUUCUCUACUCUUUUUACUACUAAUGUUUCGCUUGCCAUAUGACUAGCAACUAUAUUUUGGUGCAACAUUAAAUAUCUAAUGUUUAUGAUGGAUGUUUCUUCUCCCAAUGUGAUGAAAAACCAGUCUCUCAAGAUACCACAUUUGCGGUGUGAUGAAAAACCACUCUUACAUGUAACUGAAGGAACGCGAUUGAUCAAGAUUUUUGGUGAAUUAGCAUAAAACACAAUUAUUUGAUUUUUGUGUGAUUAAAAGUUUAAAACUCCUACACGCUUAACGUUUCUGUAAAUUUUUAUUGUACUUACGAUGACUACUUUAUAUAAAUUGGCUCAUCCCUUUUCUGAGUUCCGUUAUGAUAGACGAGAUUUCUAAUUCUUGAGUCUUGUAGUAAGGGAAGCUGAACAAUUGAAUUGGCAGAUACAAAUUAGGGAGCAACGGGCAUGUCAUACUGCCUUGAGCACAAUCAUAAUUUGUCGCCACCGGUAUCCCAUAAAAACUUGACCUACUAUUGUCUACAUCAUAGAAGACUACAACCAUGAAGUAGUGGGAAUUUUCAGCUUUCUUAUUCAGGCUUGUGCACAGCUGUCCAAUUAUCUUCAUGUUGUUUGUUAAAGAAGAGGCAAAUAUCAUUCAAGGUUAAACUUCUACAGCAAAAGGAAAUGCCAACGUUGUACUACUGUUGCUGCUAAUGUUCUUACUGCUCUUAACUGAAUAGUGUAUCUCUGUAGGAACGAUGAAACAACUACAUUUUGUUGUAUUUCAUCUUCACACUUCCUGUACAAACUUGUCAUGACACUUAAAAUGUAGCUAUAUCUUCUUUUUUGGGUUGAACAUAGUUUAUUAAUUGCAGCUCUAUCAGUGUUCCUGUUAAA